AUUGAACGCUGGCGGCAUGCUUUACACAUGCAAGUCGAACGGUAACAGCACUUCGGUGGCUGACGAGUGGCGAACGGGUGAGUAAUACAUCGGAACGUGCCUAGUAGUGGGGGAUAACUACUCGAAAGAGUAGCUAAUACCGCAUGAGAUCUAAGGAUGAAAGCAGGGGACCUUCGGGCCUUGCGCUACUAGAGCAGCUGAUGGCAGAUUAGGUAGUUGGUGGGAUAAAAGCUUACCAAGCCGACGAUCUGUAGCUGGUCUGAGAGGACGACCAGCCACACUGGGACUGAGACACGGCCCAGACUCCUACGGGAGGCAGCAGUGGGGAAUUUUGGACAAUGGGCGCAAGCCUGAUCCAGCAAUGCCGCGUGCAGGAUGAAGGCCUUCGGGUUGUAAACUGCUUUUGUACGGAACGAAAAGCCCUCUUCUAAUACAGGAGGGUCAUGACGGUACCGUAAGAAUAAGCACCGGCUAACUACGUG
rnacentral:rRNA from 1 species